GCCGGCGACCGGCGCACGGGUGAGUAACGCGUAUGCAACUUGCCUAUCAGAGGGGGAUAACCCGGCGAAAGUCGGACUAAUACCGCAUGAAGCAGGGAUCCCGCAUGGGAAUAUUUGCUAAAGAUUCAUCGCUGAUAGAUAGGCAUGCGUUCCAUUAGGCAGUUGGCGGGGUAACGGCCCACCAAACCGACGAUGGAUAGGGGUUCUGAGAGGAAGGUCCCCCACAUUGGUACUGAGACACGGACCAAACUCCUACGGGAGGCAGCAGUGAGGAAUAUUGGUCAAUGGCCGAGAGGCUGAACCAGCCAAGUCGCGUGAGGGAUGAAGGUUCUAUGGAUCGUAAACCUCUUUUAUAAGGGAAUAAAGUGCGGGACGCGUCCCGUUUUGUAUGUACCUUAUGAAUAAGGAUCGGCUAACUCCGUGCCAGCAGCCGCGGUAAUACGGAGGAUCCGAGCGUUAUCCGGAUUUAUUGGGUUUAAAGGGUGCGUAGGCGGCCCCUUAAGUCAGCGGUGAAAGUCUGUGGCUCAACCAUAGAAUUGCCGUUGAAACUGGGAGGCUUGAGUAUGUUUGAGGCAGGUGGAAUGCGUGGUGUAGCGGUGAAAUGCAUAGAUAUCACGCA
rnacentral:rRNA from 1 species